GAAAACCUAAAUCCCUACGAGAUUUUUUUUCUUCCUUUCCCAUAUUUUCUCUUUUCACGGCUUCUUCUCCACUCUCCGUUUCUUCUUCUUUGUACCUGCAUGUUGUAAUUAUUAUCCUCUCUUCAGGUGAUAAUUGAUUAUACAUUGUACAUAAGGAACCAUGAGGUGAUGGAUAUUAUUAAUCAGGGUUGGCAGAUUUCAUGGCAGGGAAGAAUAACUGAAUUCUUAUCGGGAAACAGAAAUGUUUAAUCAUUUUCUGAAUCACCUUUGGCUAAUCUUUGUUCCUCCAAAUGAAGCUUCUAUUGUGAGGGCUGCAGCUGGAUGGGCACUGUAUUCCAAUUUCAUGUAACGCUUGCAAUUGAUUGCAUAUAUUAUGAUUGCAGCUGGAUGACAACAGGGAUGGGAGUUUUCCAGCAUUUGUCAAACAGGUGGUAUUACUGGAUAGAAAUUGGACCCGAGCGUUGCAUCAAGUAUUCACGAAGGUUUGGUAGACAUGGCACUACGAGAACCAAACCACAUACAUUGGAAUCAUAUAUUUACACCGUCGAGAUGGGUGCGCCAACAAGAGCUAGAAAGAAGAGGGUUAUAUUUCUAAGGAAACUAAAGAUAGCACAAAAAUGGUGGAUGUGGUGGAAAAGGAUGCUACGAAUGGUGCAACAAUGAUGAAUGUCAGUAAAACAAAGUCAGUAAAUAAAGCCAUAAAUAAAGUCAGUAACAUAGAAAAAUACCAGUGAAGACUUGGAUAUUUAAGUGAUAAAUAAUCUAACCGCAAGUUUAAAUGAACAUAAUUUAAUUUUAUUAAUUGACUACUUCGAAUUUUAUCAUUUUUAGUAAGAAAAUAUUUUUGUUGCCUGUU